rnacentral:rRNA from 1 species
GUCGAACGGAAAGGCCCAGCUUGCUGGGUACUCGAGUGGCGAACGGGUGAGUAACACGUGGGUGAUCUGCCCCUGACUUUGGGAUAAGCCUGGGAAACUGGGUCUAAUACCGGAUAUGACCUUACAUCGCAUGGUGUUUGGUGGAAAGCUUUUGCGGUUGGGGAUGGGCCCGCGGCCUAUCAGCUUGUUGGUGGGGUAAUGGCCUACCAAGGCGACGACGGGUAGCCGACCUGAGAGGGUGAUCGGCCACACUGGGACUGAGACACGGCCCAGACUCCUACGGGAGGCAGCAGUGGGGAAUAUUGCACAAUGGGCGCAAGCCUGAUGCAGCGACGCCGCGUGAGGGAUGACGGCCUUCGGGUUGUAAACCUCUUUCACCAGGGACGAAGCGUGAGUGACGGUACCUGGAGAAGAAGCACCGGCCAACUACGUGCCAGCAGCCGCGGUAAUACGUAGGGUGCGAGCGUUGUCCGGAAUUACUGGGCGUAAAGAGCUCGUAGGCGGUUUGUCGCGUCGUCUGUGAAAUUCUGCAGCUUAACUGUAGGCGUGCAGGCGAUACGGGCAGACUUGAGUACUACAGGGGAGACUGGAAUUCCUGGUGUAGCGGUGAAAUGCGCAGAUAUCAGGAGGAACACCGGUGGC